CAGUCAUACCGGUGCCCGGGGCCCCGGAGCAGCACCUCUGACGUGGCCAGUUCAGAGAAUGUGAGUGAGUUGGCUUUAGGGCUUUUGAGAGCUGAUUUAUCUUUUUAUACUUGGGUGUUUCUCACCAGUCCCCAGAGAAAGCAGGACCUCCUGGUGACAUGGUCAAGGGAACCAGGUGUCCAGCCGCUUUUCAAGGAACCCCCAGGGCUGAAGAGGAGUGACAGGAGAGAACCCGGCUCUUUUCAGUCUCUGGAAGUGCCCAGCACCCUGGCCACCGAGACCCAGGGCAAGAAUGAGACCUGAGCGCUAAGAACGCGAUCGUGAUGGACUAGGGCUUCCCUGUGCACACGCUGGCUGUCUAGCAGAACUGUCAUGAGGGAGGUCCCAGACCACGGCCUCCCCCAAGUGGACCUUCAGGCUUCCUCGACCUCCGCCUGGACAUCACUGAUGGUUCACAGGAAUCACAGUGCCCUCCUGGGUCCCCACCUGUGUUAUGGUCACUGGUCCCUGGAAACAAGGCUUCUAGUAGCUUCUGGGGUUUCAGAGACCCAGGAAGGUCAAGCGUCCCGAAGGCCCUGCAUUCCUCUUGUCUUCUCUACACUCAGAGCUUACGUCUGGAAAAGAACCCCCUCUCUCAUCAGUUUCCGUGAGGCUCCUUUUUGCAGAUAAACUUUGCUGAAGAAAUUUGCCCAGCACAGGGCCUUGUGGUCCUCCAUGUAGUAGGCAUUUAAGCUGGACCGGCUCGGCCUCGGGGCCGCACUUCCCAAGACUGAAUCUCCAGCCCUCAGCUUCCUGGGCUACCUGCUGCUGCUGCCUGUCUCUGCCACAGCAGCCCCAGCCCCAUAGGGUCAGGUUCAUUUGUGGUCCAAACACAGCUUCCGGGUACUGCUGUCUUUUCCUGCUGGCGGUGGAUCCUGCUCAGCUUCAUCUGAGACUCCCUACCCAGGGGCACAGGAGCGGAUAGUCUUUCCGCUUCCUGGACACUUUUGUUGACAGCUGACCCACGACGAAGUGAAAGUCAAGAUGUCACCACUCUUCCUAUUGACUGUGCCACCUAGGGAACCUAACCAUUGUCUUCUCUUUCCUUUAAGUAGAGUCUCUAGAAGAGAAAUGGGGUCCUUUCCUCUAGGUUGGCCUCCUCCAUGCCAGACUUGGUGUCAGACAGGACGUUUCCCAUGGACACAUCCUCCCUCCAAAAAGCCCCUCAAGGGGGUCCCAUUCCAUGUGGCUCUAGUCCUUUGCCCAUCAGCUGGGACACUGGUACCUGCUUUACCAUCAGCCACUGCAAACAGUAGGCACUAAGGACCCUCUUGCUGUUUGUAACACACAGAAAACAGUCCAACAGUUUGUGGGAAGAAGAGCAGAAUGAAGAAAUAUGGUGAAAGAGAGGUAAAAUGGGGAGAAAAGGUAUUUGCAAAAAGUUUGCCGGAGACUUAUGGUUACUCUGUAUUCAUAGCUAGACUAUUAGUGUAAAAAAAAAAAAAGUGUCCAUACAGAUAAGGAAAAUUUCCAAGAAAACUUUGGAAAACAGGCAGAAUUUAAUAAAAUUUUAAAAAGGCAAUUCUCACACAGAGGCACACACAAGAAAAUUGAAAUGUCUAAAAUAGACAUGUUCAAUUUCUAAAAUGACCAAGAAAACACAAUUUGAGUGACUGUGAAGAGCCAAUUCACCCUGGUAGAUUGCAACCAUUAAAACAGGUGAUCAUU